GUCAGCACAUGGCCUUGUUAGUUGUUUUCUCUGCCAUGUGCUCCCUUAGUCCCUCCUUGUUUCUUUUCUACGUCACCCUCUUGUUAGCCUUGUUAGUCUAAUUGUGCUCACCUGUUCCUCAUGUGUUUUCCUCCCUAUUUAUAGUGCUCCUUACCCUUUUGUUUUUGCUGGUUCGUGGUCAUUUUCACCCCCUCUGUCACUGUCUUCAUAGCUGUCUGUGGAUAUGGCUUUAUAUGUGCCCGUGUCUCCCUGUCUGUAUGCAAAGACACUACAAGCUUGGAAUGCACACAUUUGGGCUACUUGCAUGUUCAACCAAUCUGAAGCAGAUGGAUGAGGUGCUUCUCAGUGCCACAGUUGUGUUUUGUUGUCCCUGCAGUGGAGACGAUGUGGCAAAGCAUUACAACAACUUAGUAGUGCCUAUGCAACAAGUGGGAAAACUGGAAUUUGAGGAAGAAAACAUUGCUGCUGAGGACUAGAAGGGAGUAGCUGUCCCACAAAUUGAUGCUGAAUUAAGUAAUUUUGUUUAUUUACAAUGAUGUGGGAAACACAGCUCUCGAGAGCCACUUCCAGCAGGUAAUAGAGAGAGCGCCUCUUGACCUUGAUGGCGAAGAAAACAAUUAUCAUGCUCCAGCAUUCAUUGCAAGAUUGGCCAAGUACUUCCUCCCACAUGCAACUCUGUGGUCUGGUCUGAUGCUAGGUGAUAUUGGCCGUCAUGGUACUUGCUCAGCAUACCAGCAUUUCAGCAAGAUUUAUGAAUAAGUCAGUAAGUCCAAUAAACAGAACUUUACACAGGACAAUCGAACACAGGACAUUAUGGAAAAAAGCCAAUGGGACCUAAAAAAAAUCAGGUUCCAGAGAAGGAGACUCACACGACUGGAUGACUUUGUGCUGAUAUAUCAAAGGAUGCAUGAUGCACAGCUCCGUGAAUAUGAUGACACAGAAAGAUCAAGAAAGAAAUUGUUUCGAGUGGAAAUGGAACAGUGGAAAAAGAAAAGUCAGAAGCGUAAAGGAGUAUACGUUUCUCCAUUAGUGAAGGGUUUGCCAUUCAAAGAUGUGAGAAGCAAGGAGAAGCCUUCAAAGGCACCCCCAGAAGUACA
ensembl:lncRNA